UCCUAUGGAUGAGUUGAGAAAGUGGUUUAUUGAGAUGAAAUCUACUCUUGGUGAAGAUGCUGUGAA
rnacentral:pre_miRNA from 1 species